CUUGCCCGUCCAGCAGGCCCUUGGGUCACGCCAGAGAUUGGAGAAGAUGAAGAUAUCAGAAGGUGUAAUGCUGGCAUUGUUCCAUAGCAACGGGCCUUAGGUACAUGGCAGAAAAAGAGAGAGAAAAAGUUGUUCCCUUCUCAUAGUGUCCCUACCUGGAGUUAGCUGUCAGCCAAAAGCACUUUAAUGUAUCACGUCCUGGUGGCUACACAGGUUACACAAUUGUCAAAACCCAUUGGGCUGCACACUUAAUACCUAUGCAUUUUGUUGUAUGUUCAUUAUCUCAACAUUUUUUUCAAUAAAAAAAUUAAACUAGAAAACAA
rnacentral:lncRNA from 1 species